ACGCGACACCUACGGGAGCAGCAGUGGGGAAUAUUGCACAAUGGGGGAAACCCUGAUGCAGCAACGCCGCGUGAGUGAAGAAGUAUUUCGGUAUGUAAAGCUCUAUCAGCAGGGAAGAUAAUGACGGUACCUGACUAAGAAGCUCCGGCUAAAUACGUGCCAGCAGCCGCGGUAAUCUGAGCGGGCUGGCAAGGC
rnacentral:rRNA from 1 species